rnacentral:tRNA from 1 species
UAUAAUUAAGUAUAUGUUGUACAUAAAUUUUUGAUAUUUAAGGAAAUAAUUGAAUUUAUUAAUUAUAA